GAUGAACGCUGGCGGCGUGCCUAAUACAUGCAAGUCGAGCGAACGGACGAGAAGCUUGCUUCUCUGAUGUUAGCGGCGGACGGGUGAGUAACACGUGGAUAACCUACCUAUAAGACUGGGGUAACUUCGGGAAACCGGAGCUAAUACCGGAUAAUAUUUUGAACCGCAUGGUUCAAAAGUGAAAGACGGUCUUGCUGUCACUUAUAGAUGGAUCCGCGCUGCAUUAGCUAGUUGGUAAGGUAACGGCUUACCAAGGCAACGAUGCAUAGCCGACCUGAGAGGGUGAUCGGCCACACUGGAACUGAGACACGGUCCAGACUCCUACGGGAGGCAGCAGUAGGGAAUCUUCCGCAAUGGGCGAAAGCCUGACGGAGCAACGCCGCGUGAGUGAUGAAGGUCUUCGGAUCGUAAAACUCUGUUAUUAGGGAAGAACAUAUGUGUAAGUAACUGUGCACAUCUUGACGGUACCUAAUCAGAAAGCCACGGCUAACUACGUGCCAGCAGCCGCGGUAAUACGUAGGUGGCAAGCGUUAUCCGGAAUUAUUGGGCGUAAAGCGCGCGUAGGCGGUUUUUUAAGUCUGAUGUGAAAGCCCACGGCUCAACCGUGGAGGGUCAUUGGAAACUGGAAAACUUGAGUGCAGAAGAGGAAAGUGGAAUUCCAUGUGUAGCGGUGAAAUGCGCAGAGAUAUGGAGGAACACCAGUGGCGAAGGCGACUUUCUGGUCUGUAACUGACGCUGAUGUGCGAAAGCGUGGGGAUCAAACAGGAUUAGAUACCCUGGUAGUCCACGCCGUAAACGAUGAGUGCUAAGUGUUAGGGGGUUUCCGCCCCUUAGUGCUGCAGCUAACGCAUUAAGCACUCCGCCUGGGGAGUACGACCGCAAGGUUGAAACUCAAAGGAAUUGACGGGGACCCGCACAAGCGGUGGAGCAUGUGGUUUAAUUCGAAGCAACGCGAAGAACCUUACCAAAUCUUGACAUCCUUUGACAACUCUAGAGAUAGAGCUUUCCCCUUCGGGGGACAAAGUGACAGGUGGUGCAUGGUUGUCGUCAGCUCGUGUCGUGAGAUGUUGGGUUAAGUCCCGCAACGAGCGCAACCCUUAAGCUUAGUUGCCAUCAUUAAGUUGGGCACUCUAAGUUGACUGCCGGUGACAAACCGGAGGAAGGUGGGGAUGACGUCAAAUCAUCAUGCCCCUUAUGAUUUGGGCUACACACGUGCUACAAUGGACAAUACAAAGGGCAGCGAAACCGCGAGGUCAAGCAAAUCCCAUAAAGUUGUUCUCAGUUCGGAUUGUAGUCUGCAACUCGACUACAUGAAGCUGGAAUCGCUAGUAAUCGUAGAUCAGCAUGCUACGGUGAAUACGUUCCCGGGUCU
rnacentral:rRNA from 1 species